rnacentral:lncRNA from 1 species
AUGAAGAACUAUAGAUCCCAUGCCCUCGCCCCACAUGACCAGAUCCCUUGGAGAGUCUGCUUCUGCCUUCCCUCCCAGACUUCAGUGAUGUUCAAGGAUCUCGCUUGCUCAAAGCCUACAGGCUCUGGGAUGCCCACAUGGGGCAAACUGGCCAAUAAAGAACAAGACAGCAUACCCCGUGCCGAACUGCGGGUGAACCAGGCACAGCUCCUGCAGCAUGGUAACACUGUCCUUCUGGUCGAAUUCACAGUGUCUCUCUAGUGCCCAGCACUGUGCCUGGCACAUAGUAAGUGCUCAUUAAAUUUGUUAACUAAAUGGAUGAACGAAUGUUAGAGUGUUAUACUUUUAUCACUGAAAUGCUUUACUUCCACAGGAAGUCAGAGAAGCUCUAUAAAUGAGAGGAUCAGAGGAUGUGACAGGAAAAUGGCUGGUGAGGACAGAGCCCAUGACAGAGUGUCUGUCUGCCUUGCUACAUUUCUGCGGCUGUGAAGCUGAGCCUAAGGUGGGCCUGGCCUGGUCCACUUCCACUGGGAUGUGUUAAAAGAGUGUCGGAACAUCAGAACACUGUCUGGGAACCAUGUGGUCACACUUUCCCUUCAAACAGAGACUCAAGAGCUCACAGCAUGGUGCUGGUAUCUUUGCCAAUACCCUACAAAGUGUCUUUGCAGAUGUCUCCAUUUGACCAGUGAGCGUUACAAUGGAUCCAUUCAUGAAGUAAAAAAACUCCUUAUUGCACGAGUCAGAGGUCACGCGCUACAACCAAAAUAGGCUUUCCUGCCAUCACUGCCACUCUGAAGUGGCUGCCCAGCUAUGGCUACAUGGUCUAACUCAUCUUGCAUCUGGGUGGCCUCAUAUGACUAGUUCUCACCAAAGGAAUUGUGGCAGAUUCCCUAUAGUGGACCACACCAGUAAUUCCCACUUCAUAUUGUUUUAUAAUAUGAUGUUGCACUCCUGUAAUAAGCCAUGGGCUCUAUGUUCUCUCCCUUUCAAUCUGGGUAAGCUUGUGAGGCUUAUCAGGCCAAGUCACAAAAGGUGAUACAGCUUCCAUCCAGGCCUGUUGGGAUACUCUUGGAACCCAGCCACCAAGGUGUGAGGCAGCCCAGCAGCCACAUGGAAAGUCCAACUGUGGGUGUUCUGGCUAUGGCCACAGUUGACGCACACGGAGACACCAGCCUUUGAGGUGAAGGGGAGGUGGUGGUAAGUUGUCCGAUACCUCCACCCCCAGCCUUCAAGCAAUCCUAGGAGACACCAAGUGGAACAGAAGCAAGCAGUCCCCACCAAGCCCUGCCCAAAUUGCAAAUUCAUGGGGAAACAAAUGUUGUCAUUGCUGUAACACACCAAGUUGGGGGUGAUAUGUUAAACAUCAAUAACGAACUGGAAUGGGAAUGGGAGUGGAAAUGGUCUAUGCCACUUCCAGUCCAGGCAUUCGGGACCUGGGGAUGCCUUCUCCAUAUCCUCUCCUUCUCCAAGGCCCUCAGACCACAAGAUGAAAAGAACCAAGUAUCUCAGCCAGGUGUGGUGGCUCACGCCUAUAACCCCAGCACUUUGGGAGGCCAAGGCAGGCAGAUCACAAGGUCAGGAGAUGGAGACUAGCCAUCUGGCAUGGGGCUAACACAGUGAAGCUCCAUCUCUACUAAAAACGCAAAAAAUUAGCUGGGCUUGGUGGUACAUGCCUGUAGUGCCAGCUACUCAGGAGGCUGAGGCAGGAGAAUCGCUUGAACCCGGGAGGAGGAGGUUCCAGUGAGCCAAGAUCACGCCACUGCACUCCAGCCUGGACAACAGAGCAAGACUCCCUCUCAAAAAAAAAAAAAACUAGUGUCCCGAUUGCUACACUGUGGCAAGUCUUGGGUCGACCAAAAAUACCUGCAUCAAACUGCUCAAGAGCUAGAAAUAAAUUUCUAUUGUGUGAAGCCA